AUGAACGCUGGCGGCGUGCCUAAUACAUGCAAGUCGAGCGAACAGACGAGUAGCUUGCUCCUCUGACGUUAGCGGCGGACGGGUGAGUAACACGUGGAUAACCUACCUAUAAGACUGGGAUAACUUCGGGAAACCGGAGCUAAUACCGGAUAAUAUAUUUAACCGCAUGGUUCAAUAGUGAAAGACGGUUUUGCUGUCACUUAUAGCUGGAUCCGCGCCGCAUUAGCUAGUUGGUAAGGUAACGGCUUACCAAGGCAGCGAUGCGUAGCCGACCUGAGAGGGGGGUCGGCCACACGGGAACUGAGACACGGACAAGAGUACUACGGGAGGGAGCAGAAGGGAAUGGUCGGCAAUGGGGGAAAGUAUGACGGAGCAAGGGGGAGUGAGAGAUGAAGGUCUUCGGAGCGUAAAAAUGUGUUAUGAGGGAAGAACAAAUGUGUAAGGAAAUAAAGAGGGAGUGACGGUAACGAAUAAGAAAGCAACGGCUAACUACGUG
rnacentral:rRNA from 1 species